rnacentral:lncRNA from 1 species
CCCAUUAUCAUUCUAUUGGUAGGUUUGAUGUUUGACAUUGAGUUGUAAAAGGUUGUUGUUGUUAUGGAGCAAUAUUGUUGAAGGUAUGUUACACUUAGUCUUAUGAUUGAAGACUCCAUGUACUAGAUCUUGAACAAAUGCCAUCUUAUGUAUGAUAUCAAGGUUGAUUUUGUUGUCACGAGAAUCAAGUUCCACCCCUGUCUCGAAAAAAAUUGAGAUACCAAACAUAUGCAAGAUGUGAGUGACCAAAACGAGCAUAAGGUAGUAAACGAUUUUUCUCACUUAAAUGAUGCAUGUGUUGCAUUAUUAUGUAUGUCUAGUUCACAGUUUUUCAAGUUUUAAUGGCAUACUUAGAAAAUAAUGCAAGACGCAAACAUCUAAAUUGAGAUUUCCAAUUGAAAAGAAAUUUUUAUUUACAAAAAGAAAAGAAAAAUGUAUUUACAAUUACUAAUAAUAAAAAAAUAUAAGUAUGAAUUUUUAUUAUUUUGCAAUUCCCAAGUAGUAGCGCCAAGUUAUUGAAUAGAGAUUCUGACUAGGAAUUUCCCCCUCCACAACAAAAUGUGUCACUUUGUUGAAAGGAGAUUUACCAGUUGCAAGUAUUUUUAUUUAAUUUUGAGUGAUGAGUGAUGAACAACUUUACUUAAUUAGUGACUUUAAUUACUUACUCCCUUUUCGUGUUCGUUUUAACCAUACCAUAAAGGUCAGUCUCAUUAUAAGUUAAUCAUACCAUUUCUUACGAAAGGUUGGUGUGAAAGACUAAUAAAAUGAAUAAAAUAAUAAAGUUAGCAGUUAAUCGUAUCACUUCUUUCAAAAGGUUGGUAUAAAAAAUAAAACAAUAAAGCAAUAAAUAAAUGUUAGUUGCGGAAAAAUAAAUGAUGGAAAGUAAAUGUUAGUUGCAGAAAGUAAAUGCCAGAAAGUAAUUGUUAGCAGUUAUAUUUAUUAUUCAUCAAUCCUUUUUAUAAAUAAUGUAGUGUCGACCUUACCCCUUUCAAAUUCUUUUUGACAGAGAAAAUUAUAUAACCUAUCAUACUAAACUCUAGGUGUUUGCUUUAAGCCACAAAGUGCUUUCCUUAGUUAAUACAUGAGAGGGUUCUUUAUAAUCCUCAAUACCUAGAGGUUGUUCAACAUAUACUUCCUCUUAUAUAUAAUCAUUUAAGAAGGCACGUUUAACAUCCAUUUGAUAUAACUAAAAGUUGAAAGAACAUGCAUAUGGUAAAAGUAGUCUAAUACCCUCAAGUCUAGCAACAUGAGCGAAAUUUUCAUUGAAAUAUAUUCUCUCCUCUUGAUUAUAUCCUUGGGUUACUAACCUAGCCUUAUUUCUAACUAUCAUGCCAGUUUGAUCAGAUUUGUUUAUGAAAACCCAUCGAGUACCAAUGACUUUAUUAUAGGUCUUGUGACUAGUUCCCUAACGUUUUUUUAUCUCGAAUUGAUUAAGUUCUUAUUGCAUGGUGUCGCGACCCGAUUUUCGGUUGGAAGACCGGCCCUACGACUUGGGAGGAGGCGGACUCUAUUUCUACCUCUCUCAAUUGAUUUGGAGUCGCCAAUACGUUUUUUGUGGUUAAAACGUAGAAAACUCUAUAGUAAGCCCAAUUAGGAUGAUAUGGUCUUAAAGCAGAGAUUCUGGNNNNNNNNNNNNNNNNNNNNNNNNNNNNNNNNNNNNNNNNNNNNNNNNNNNNNNNNNNNNNNNNNNNNNNNNNNNNNNNNNNNNNNNNNNNNNNNNNNNNGACUCGAACCAUAACCUUACUAUAAAAAUUCCAUAAUUAAUAUUUUUAUAAUUAUUUACAUAUAUAGAAUUUUGAAUGAUAAAAUAGCUUAUUAAUUAUAUAGAGAAUUGCAUGGUAAGAAUUAUUUGGAUUUAAUUAUAAAUGAAUUGAUAAGAUUGUUUGGAUUUGAUUAUAUAUUAAUUGAUAAGAUUGCUUGGAUUUAAUUAUAUAUAGAAUUAAGCAUAACAAAAUAUUAUAAAAAACCAUUAAUAUGAUAAAACACAAAUAAAAUCAAAAGCAAAAUAAAACAAAAAGUGCAGGAGUGUGGCAUACGGGUCUUUUAGAACCCAAAAUCCCAAAAUCCAUAAUGUCCUUUACUUCUUCAAUCUGCUUCUCCCUUGGCUUGUCUUCUAUCUUUCUUUUGCCCUCUUGAUGAUAAUGAACAAGGUUCACGUUCAAGGAUGUUAGGAGGGGGGUCACGGUUGUCAUCGCACACAUCAAGAGGUGAAAACCCUCAUCCUCAUCUUCUCUCACGCGGUGGGCCAGGGGGUGAAAUCCGUAUUCUUCCUUCUUUCCAAUCGGCGGCACUGGAAGUGUACUCACGGUGGUAACGAAACGGGGCUGAUUGUAGCUACAUGAUGCAUCUCCUUCUUCUUCACGAGUUCUUCUUCUCCAAUUCCCUUGCAGUAAAGGGGGAAUCGAAAUCCCUAACUCCAUUUUUAUCAUCUUCGAUGUCGGUUUUGAAUUGAUGGGGGAAGACAAUAAUGUCAAUCCCCUAAGGCUUCUUGACAAGGCUGUGGUCUCGAUGCCCCUACCCCGAAUUCAAAUCGGGUGGUUCACAAUGGCUCCAUCCGAUGGGUUACAGUGGUUCGAGGUUCAGGUAUGCGCCCUAUUCAUUCUGCGCGUUAAUGGGUUCUAUUUGCAUGGCGGUUCAUGGUGGUUCCGAAUCGGCAUAUGCGAGGGGUUUCGGAAAGAAAAUUACCCCUUCUGCUAUUUGAUUUUUUUACAGUACGAAACUGGUUUGUCAUACAUAACCGAUUUAGGCUAAAGAUUAUCCAGAAAUGAACCCUAUGUCUUUAUAUUAUAUCGCUGCAUGGUAUACUUCAUAUUGAUAUAUACGUCUCUGUUGAAGCUGAAUGAAUGAAAAAUAUGCGAUUUUUUUGUAUGAUUUUUAAUUAGAUUUGUACAGAACACGUUAAGAUCCAAAGGGCUAUACUAUUUAGUUCCAGACAUAUUAUGGCUGCUAUGUUAGUAUUGCACAAGUAAAAAAUCAUGGUUUUCUUCAUAUUAGAACUAUCAUAACUAUGCUCAUUAUGUUAUUUGAAUAUAUAAAAAAUCAAUAGGAAGUAAACCCUCGACUUAUGUUAGUGAUAUGAGCAUAAGGAUAUGUGAUCCGCAAUGAGUAAGGUUCAUUUAUGUUUACUAGCACUUGAAUAAAUAGGAUGGGUGACUUACCUUAUUAUGUUUUGUUACCUUAUCCUUCUGCGUGUUGAAUCUUUGUUCCAAGAUGUUCUCUUUUCUCUAUCUUUGUUUUCUGUAUGUUGUGUAAGAUACGCGAACUCUUGACGCCCUCUUACUAUGUAUGCGUAAUCUGGUUUUUUUGUUUUUUGAAACUCAUUUGUGUAUGCUCUCUGUUUUUUUUACUGAAAUCUCUCUGAUUUGUUCCCUCUUGUAUGUGUCGUGUGUUAUGGAUGGUAGUAUGCUUUCUCUGCUUGCUCUUUUAGGCCUCUCUCCUUUUGCUGAGUUGUGACGGGUUAUGUAUAAAUAUAGCUGCCUUGUAUCAAGUGUCUUCUCUCCUUUUUUUUAUUGUAUGGUAUGCCUUUCUCUUUAUACUGGUUGGGGAUUCUAUGUGUUACCUUUUGGAUUGUCAAGAAUAAGAGUAACGUUCCUCAUCCUUUCAUUUUCUGA